rnacentral:tRNA from 1 species
GGGUGACUAGCUCAAUUGGUUAGAGCGCUUCCCUUACAAGGAAGAGGUUAGGGGUUCGAGUCCCUUGUCACCCA